rnacentral:rRNA from 1 species
AGAUACCCUGUUACUUAUAAUUAAAAAAUUUUGGAAUAGUAAUAAUAAUGAAAUUUAACGGAUUUGGCGGCAAGAUAGCCAUUUAGAGGAACCUGCCCUGUAAACGAUGAACCACGAAAUACUUUACUUUUAUUUGUUAUCAGUUUGUAUACCGCUGUUGUCAGUCAGUUUUUCUAGAAAUCUUUCUACUAUGAUAAAAUCAAAUACUUCAAGUAAAGGUGCAGCUUAUGUAAAAGAUAGAGGUGGGUUACAUUUAUGAAGAUUAAAACGAAUAAAGAUUUUUGAAAAAUACUUUUGAAGGUGGAUUUAAAUGUAAAGUUUAAAAAAACU